AGAGUUUGAUCCUGGCUCAGGAUGAACGCUGGCGGCGUGCUUAACACAUGCAAGUCGAACGGGAAUGCCACGCUGAUGCGAUUUCGGUCAAAUCAUGUGGCAUUCGAGUGGCGGACGGGUGAGUAACGCGUGGGUAACCUGCCUUACACAGGGGGAUAACACCUGGAAACAGGUGCUAAUACCGCAUAAGCGCACAGGGCCGCAUGGCCCGGUGUGAAAAACUCCGGUGGUGUAAGAUGGACCCGCGUCUGAUUAGCUUGUUGGCGGGGUAGGGGCCCACCAAGGCGACGAUCAGUAGCCGGCCUGAGAGGGUGGACGGCCACAUUGGGACUGAGACACGGCCCAAACUCCUACGGGAGGCAGCAGUGGGGGAUAUUGGACAAUGGGGGAAACCCUGAUCCAGCGACGCCGCGUGAGUGAAGAAGUAUUUUGGUAUGUAAAGCUCUGUCAGCAGGGAAGAAAGAAAUGACGGUACCUGACCAAGAAGCCCCGGCUAACUACGUGCCAGCAGCCGCGGUAAUACGUAGGGGGCAAGCGUUAUCCGGAAUUACUGGGUGUAAAGGGAGCGUAGACGGUGAUGCAAGUCUGGAGUGAAAGGCGGGGGCCCAACCCCCGGACUGCUCUGGAAACUGUGUAACUUGAGUGCAGGAGAGGUAAGCGGAAUUCCUAGUGUAGCGGUGAAAUGCGUAGAUAUUAGGAGGAACACCAGUGGCGAAGGCGGCUUACUGGACUGUAACUGACGUUGAGGCUCGAAAGCGUGGGGAGCAAACAGGAUUAGAUACCCUGGUAGUCCACGCCGUAAACGAU
rnacentral:rRNA from 1 species